CCGUAAAUCGUCGUAGGAAAUAAUAGAAUCUGCACAAAUCAACUCACUCGGCGCACCACUUAUUAUUCGCUAGAGAUUAUUAUUUACAGAUGAUUGGAACUGUCUCGUGAGAUGAGGUGGUUGUCUUUGGUUGCGUUAGGUGGGGGGAGGGGGGGGAAGGCGGAUACCGCCGAUUUCCUCUUCGAGUACCUCUCUUCGAGUGCAAGUAAGAGGGAGAAAAGAGGUGGCGUGGAGACGCGAAGCUUUUUUCUUUCCUUUUUUUUCCUCCUCCUCUUCUUCUUCUUCUUCUUCUUCUUCCUCUUCUAAAUACGGCGAGAUAGCGAAAAAAAGUGUGCAGCGCUGGCCUACCCUGUUCCUCCUCAUUAAUGAAACGAAGGCGGGCGGGGGGAGGGGAGAAUAAGACAUCGAAGAGGAUCCCUUAUCUCUAUGAUUAAUCUCGGUGAAUUAUACACAUCUGUAUUAUAAAGUCGACGACGAUUUCGUUUGGGAAAUGAAACUCGACUUCAGGAUGAAUAAACGUCGUAUAUAAUGAAUAGUUUAGCGGGAGAGAUAAUUAUUUUAAAUAGUGGGUUAAAUAUUAAUUAGUGGUUAGUUGAAAUAUGCUCGUGAGCCGUAUAUAGCUACACAUUUACCGUGAAAUGAUCGUAGAUUUUUAGCAUUUUUAUAAAUGCUAAAGAAAAGGUGGAGGUGUGUAUAAGUUGAAAACUGGAGAGAGAAAGAGAGAGAGAGAGAGUGGGAGAGAGUGAAAGAGAAAGAGUGCGAUAAAGUUAUUAAUGGUCGUAGUCAGGAACAUGCGACAUUUACACAUCGAAUACAUUUAAAAAACGUGUGUGUUUUACGUCAUCUCGCGUCUUUUCAGGGAUUUUUCGCCGCUGUUUCUUUUUUUUUUUUUUUUUAAAUUCAACAACUUUCUUCUCUUCUCCGAAAUGCGGCGAAUCUUCCUUCUUGCUCGAGUCGACUUUUAUAUAGAUCGAAAGCAAAACGUUAUAUAUAUAUAUAUGUAUAUGUAUAUAUAAAUUAUGUCAAAGUUGUACAACAUCAAAGUUGUACAAAAAAAGUAAUCGAUAGUUUAAAAAUACGCUUUUCUAGUAAGCUCGAUAACGAGAUUAACGUAUCAUUAUAAAAAUCAAUCGAGACUAGAGAAAGAGACUAGAAGUGUGUCCACGAAGUGUUCUCUUCUCGAGUCGGCCGUACAUAUCCAAAUAAAUAUGUAAUUUAAAUAACACGACUAGUAUCGUGUUAGCAUCUUUACAAUUCACCGUUUAAAAUUCACUAUGUACAUCUCUUAUCUUACUUAAUAUUAAUUAAAUAACAUCCUUCUUGACACUUCCACCGUACCAUGUACACUUAUACAUCGCGUGUCAAAUGGCUGGAACCAUAGAAGAUGGUUCACAAAAAUGUCGAGUGGUUGGCCACUCGAGGAGGAUAUACGAUAAAAGUGAAAAUCCGAGCUUAAUUCGGAGACGCGAGACGUCUGGUGGUGGAUAUUGCGAUGAAGUGACUUGCUUGCGCGAUGUGGUAUUAAAUAGAUACAUAAAUACUAAGUUACAAGUUCGAUUACCGCCCAUUUACGCAACGGUGUGUACGCAUCGACAAGUGUGUCCUUUUUCUUCUUCUCCCCCGUCGUUGUUCGCUUUUCUUUACGUUUCGCCGUCUGUCGUCGCUUAAACGCAACGAACGCAGAGAGCGCGAUCUGGUGGACGAAUAUCGAUUCUUCGUAAAAAUGAUGGAGGACUUCGUGAAAUUGGACGCGAAACGACGCGAACAACAAAAAGUUUCAAAAGAGACGAGUGUGAAAAUAUAAUACGAGAGCAGAGGUAGAGGGAACUGUACGAGAAUCGAAGAAAUAUCAUUCAUCUCUCAUCUUCGAAAUUGUAGAAAUGUUGAAACUUCCUCUCGCUGGACAAUCAUCUCGUCAACAACGGCGCGCAUAAACAUAACCUCGAAACUGUGUUACUGUGUUAAUAACGUUGGUCACUGCAAUUUUUCCAUCGAACAAGUCUCAUUAAAUUUUUGCCCAAAAUACAUUCGCGAUAUCGAUUCCUUUUUUCUAAUUUCAUGUUUAAUAAUUAAUCUUAGGGAAUAAUCCAGAGAAUUUUAUGUGACAUUCUCUAUGUCUCUUUAGGAGAUUUUUUUUUUCGUUUCGAUGAUUCCUCGAGAAUAAUUUCUCGUGGAACAGCAAGGAGGCGAGCCAUUUUCGCCACUGUUCGCCUUCUCCCCUCUCGCUUCGUACUUUCCCCUUUUUCGAACUUAAUGCAUUAUUUAUAAAAUGGUUGCAAGCAAAUAUUUUUUCCAGGUUAACGCCACCUAUAUACACCGGUGUAUAACACACACUGUAGAUAACCGCAUAGAUAAUUUCACUCCGCGAACCUGCCUAAUGCUCUAACGCUCUGCUCGAGAAUUUUUCUUAUUCUCAAUAUAUAUACAUAAAAAGUAUAUUCUUACGUAACAUAAUAUCGUGAUCUCUUACACCAUCGAUCGAUAUCCCGAAUGUACUUUUGCAAAACAGAUAUUCGAGAGAAAAAAGAACGCGAAAAACUUUGUUUCCUUUUUUCCCUCUUCUUUUUCUUCUUCUUUUCGCAUUGGACUGGAAUUACCGAUCAAAUAACGCGUUCUAAUAAAUGUACAAUGUAAAAAUAUUGACGCGAACUUCAAAAGUCUAGAAAAAUAUUCGUCCCCUUUGCCUCAAAAUUUUUCGAAAGAUCGAAAAAAACACUUUCUUCGAUUGCGGACAAAAUUCUUUUUUUUUUUUUUUUUUUUUUUGAUUGUUGCGCUCGUAGAAUCGAAUCCGAAGUUCGAAAAGUAAAAGCGAUCAUCGCGUAAAGUGAGAUUUCCUUUACGAAGAGAUGGAACGAUAUAUGCAUAUUUAGAAGAGAGAGAGAGAAAGAAGCGAAGAAGUUUCGAGAAUAAAGUUCGCGUGCGCGCAUGCCAUGCAACAAGCAUAGUUCAUUCAACGUCGCUGUGAAAGACUGUGCGCGCCGCGCGGCACCGGUUGCAGGUUCACAGGUGCCCUCGUACGCGUUCUACCGCGUUUUCUAUCCGCUUCGGCGGAUGUUUCGUCGCGUGUUUCGCGGGAAAGAAAACAAAAACAAAUAAACAAACAAACAAAAAAAAAG